rnacentral:piRNA from 1 species
UGUAGAGACCACAACCUCUGCAGGGUUCCA